ensembl:misc_RNA 7SK 7SK RNA
GGAUGUGAGGGCGAUCUGGCUGUGACAUGUCACCCCAUUGACCGCCAGGGGUCCAGGGGGUGAUUCAGCAUAUCUGGCUGACUAGGCAGGUGUCCCCUUCCUCCCUCACCGCUCCAUGUGCAUCCCCCGGAAGCUGCCCACUCAGUCAAAGAGGACCGCCUUCCCUGAACAGAGACUGACAGGGUCUUAGGUGGAGGGUAUAGGAGUAGCGCUCCCCUGCUAGAACCUCCAAACAAGCUCUCAAGAAAAGAAGGCAAAAACAUAAAACAAACCCAAAGAAAGGUGAAGGAAGGAAAUAGUCAAGAAAAAUCAGGAAAUGAUUUUU